UUGUCUGUGAAGAGUGAAGUCAUGACAUCUGUCUCUGGAGUGAUUGUCAGGAUCAAAUGAGAAGAAACCCCUGUGUGGCUGUGUCCAGGUGCCAGAGAUGGUGGUUUCUGCUUGAGCUGAGCUUGACGGUGGGGAGGGACCUCACCAGAAAGAAGUGAGGCGGUUGCAGGGGAGGGGAUCAGCUGAGUCUUAGAGAGCAAUGCUGGCCAGAGUCCAGAGAAGGGCAGGGCUGCCCAACCACUUACCCCACAGGAGCGAGUUCCCAAAGCACUUCCUGUCUUGGAGCUCCUGCUCUUGGACUCAUUAUUUUUAAAGCUUUUUGGGGUCCUUAACGCUUUCUUUUUUUUAAGUUUAUUGAUUUGUUUUGACAGAGAGAGAGAGCGCGCGCGCGCGCGCGCGCACGAGCACGAGCAGGGGAGGGGCAAAGAGAGAGAAUCCCAAGCAGGUUCCAUGCUGUCUGCGCAAGCCCAACGUGGGGCUCGAUCUCACAAAAGAGUUUACUCCGGUCCCUCCCCCUAGAGGAGUUCCCAGGCCAGUGGAAGGUGCACCACAAAUCCCAAAUCACAAUAAUAAAAGUAUGCAGCGGCAUAAAUCAGUUCAGAGGUUCCUCAAGAGGAAGUCAGAGGAUUCUCAGCAGAGGAGCUGAAUUUGAAGCAGGAAAUGAUGAAGAGAAGUCAGCAGGAGAACAGAGAGGAAGUGAAGAAGGGCUUUCUGUAGAUAAGGGAGAGGAAGAUGAGCUUCCCAUAAUCACAAGCAAAUGAUAUCAGACCUUCUGAAUGUUAACAACACUGAGCGAAAACCGUGACUUUCUCUUGAAACGUGUAUCUGAAUUUCCUUUCAGGUACGUACUUUGCGCGCUGUAAUUCCUCUUGUUUGCAAAAUGUAUAUUUGAGUCUCUUUUUAAGUCUACAGUUUCUUUAUUUCCUCUGUUGUCAAAGUGUGCACUUGAAUCGCUUCCCAAAUAUGUACUCUAAGUGCGUCCACCGAAAGUGCAAGGGGAGUGUAAGAUCCCUCCCCGUGGAUCUUACACCGAUUUCUGGCAAGGUGGCUGUGGCGUGGAGAAAUCGCGGGUGAUUCCCGCGAGGGAGAGAGAACCUGAAAACGUGAUAUAGGCAGUCCAGCUUCUAGAUAGUGGAAUCUAACCCCACUUUUUCCUGUAUCCAUAUUUUUUGAGAAAGUCAUAUUACCAAAAAAAAAAAAAAAA